AACGAACGCUGGCGGCGCGCCUAAUACAUGCAAGUCGAGCGAGAAGACGUAGCAAUACGUUUGUAAAGCGGCGAACGGGUGAGGAAUGCAUGGGUAACCUACCCUCGAGUGGGGAAUAACUAGCCGAAAGGUUAGCUAAUACCGCGUACGCUCCUUGGACUUCGGUUCAGGGAGGAAAGCGAUACCGUGGGUAUCGCGCUCUUGGAUGGGCUCAUGUCCUAUCAGCUUGUUGGGUAGGGAACGGCCUACCAAGGCUUUGACGGGUAGCUGGUCUGAGAGGACGAUCAGCCACACUGGCACUGCGACACGGGCAGACUCCUACGGGAGGCAGCAGUAAGGAAUAUUGCGCAAUGGGCGAAAGCCUGACGCAGCGACGCCGCGUGGGGGA
rnacentral:rRNA from 1 species